rnacentral:rRNA from 1 species
AUGUGUCCUUCUAAGGUCUUCAAGAUGGUGAUGGAGCUCUCGCUACAGGUCUUGUUUCUUCGACUUUGUCAUCGUCACACCGACUUGUCCGGCGUGCGUCGCUUCCUCCCGGACACCUUGCUCUCACACGCCCUCUCCGACCUUUUCACCUUCAUUUGUUACAUAAAUUUGUUGAUCUUUAAUCUUAUUAGCACCUUUGUUCUUCUUUUUUUUGAAAUGAUAGGGGUCGCCUCCCUGCCCCAACUUUUUAUUAAAAAAGCAAAGGCAACCACAGCAGACUGCAGACUGUUAACAGCUCUCGGCUCCAGCCAGAAAGUAGCUGCAGCAGAGUUAUUACAAUGA